UGUGACUAUUUUGCUACACCCGUUCACCCCGAGCGAUUAACUCGAGCAAAUCAGUGAGCAAGAUUUCUUCGGAACCUUCGUCUUAACGGGUCUUUCUCAGAUGUACAGAACCUAUGAAGUAUGCUGAAACAAGUGCUUCAAUUACACUCUGGUCCUUUCACUCUAAUAUAUGAUGUGCAGCAUAAAAUGUCUUGAAACAGAUAUGGGUAAUGUAAAAGUGUUGUGGUUGCGGAAAAGUGCAAACUAAGGCUUGGACAGGAAUGAGAUGUACAGAACCUACUAAAGUAUGCUGAAACAUGUGCUUCAAUUACACUCUGGUACUUUCACUCUAAUAUAUGAUGUGCAGCAUAAAAUGUCUUGAAACAGAUAUGGGUAGUGUAAAAGUGUUGUGGUUGCGGAAAAGUGCAAACUAAGGCUUGGACAGGAAUGAGGUAACCGAUUUUUGCUUCUCUACUGAUAGUUCAUUGGGCAAUGUCAUGAUUGUGUCCGUCCUGUUCUGUAAAAGAAGAGCAACCUUCUUGCCGAUGUUGUUUCAUUCCCACUCUUUCAAAGGAGUAAACAAGAUGUUUAUUCAAGAUCCUCCAAAAUGACAAUCACUUACUUUCAGAGAUCAGUGUGGUUCUGGCUUAAUUUUGGCUGAUAUAAUUUUUCCCUUCCUGCCAUUUUAUAUGUUUUGUGUAAUACUUUGUGUUGUGAUGUCCUGUUGACAUUUCAGAUGUACAUAGUUGUUG